GUUUUAGCAUAAGUUUGUUCCUAUCUCCACCUCUGCCAGUAUCCAUCCAUCCAUCCACCCUGUCUUCUUCUAGUGGAUUUCCAAGUAAUUUGCAGAGAGAAAUACACUCCAUCUCUCAUAGUUUCGCCUGCGUAUCAUUAACUAGAGUGUAGGAUUUAUUUACCCCUCUUUUGGGCUAACACUUAGACACAGGGAUGUUUCUAAGCCCUAAGUGUACUUUCAGUGGGUUCCUAUAUAUGUCUCUAGGGCCCCAAUUCCAUCAAGAUAGAGGACAUAUCCAGGAAGUUUCCUCAUGCCCGCCUUUCAGGAAAUCCUCAGCCCAGCCCACCCCUGCACAACCACUCUUCUGAUUUCAUCACCGUAGAUUAGCUUGGGCUUGUUCUGGAACUUUCCAUACACUCUGUGCUCUUUGACAUAAGCCUCCUUCAGCGAGCGGCAUGCUAUUUUUGAGAUUCACUCAUGUUUUUCUGUGUAAAUACAUCCUUGACUGUACAGACACACACAUACACACACUCACCCACCCAUGUAGGCAGACAUCUAUACACAUAACAUACACAUAAGACAAACUUUUCACGUAAAUGUUGGUAGGUUGGGUGUAUUUCUCUCCAGGAAGUGCCUUAUAGAUUUUGGUCCCUUUUCUUAGCUACAUCCUUUAGGUCAGCUUUCAAAGAGAUCUUUGUGAUGUCUGGCAGAUUAUUAAGAGCUUUGGUUGGCCAGGGAAGGUUAGUUUUGGAAAGGUCCCCUCCCACAUCCCUCCAGAGUGGAACCAUGAGCUGGACUCCGCAACCUUGAGGUGGUGCGAAGGGAAGGAGAGGGCAGGGGAAGGGAGAAGAGAGCCAUGCGGGUACCAAAAACUGUCUGAUUUAUGGCGUCAACAGCCACACGUGUUCUGCAGUGGAAGUUGCUUCCAGGGGCCCGUGUGACGUUCUUCCCCUUUGGAGCUGGACACACUCCUUGUCACAAAUAGCAUCAGAGAGAGACAGGCAUUCUUUUUUUUUUUUUCUUCUUCUUCGGUUUUUAAAGUUUUAUCAACGUCCAGUUGAUGUACAGUGUGGUGAUCAUUCUCUCUGCUGUGCCGCAAAGUGAUUUGGUUCUACGUGUCCCCACAUUCAUUUUUGUUCAGAUUCUUUUCCUGCAGAAUACUGGGUCGAGUCCCCUGGGCUCUACAGCAGGUGCCCGUUGGCCAAUCAUCCCGUAUACGAUGGUGUGCAUGUGACAAUCCCCACCCCCCCAGUGCACCCCUCACCACCUGUCCCCUUUGGUAACCAUGAGUUUUUCAAAGUCUGGGAGUCUGCUUCUGUUCUGCAAAUAAGUUCGUUUGUAUCCUUUUUAAAGAUGCCACUUGAAGAAAGGCGAUCUUGUCAAGGUGCCCUGGGAACUAGAUGUUCGGGUGGGGAAGGGGACCAGCCUCGCGCUAAAAUGGGAACUGUGUGUGUGUGUGUGUGUGUGUGUGUGUGUGUGUGUGUGUGUGUGUUGGGGUCUUUGGAAAGGGUAAGAGCCUCGUUUUCCCAGACCAGCUCAGUCCCAGCAGAAUCCUUUAUUGGCACCAAUCUUCAUUUUUUUUUUUCUUGCUUUUUAGGGCCGCCCCCACAGCAUAUGGAUGUUCCCAGACUAGGGGUGGAAUCGGAACUACAGCUGUCAGCCUACACCACAGCCACAGCAGCGCAGGAUCCAAGCCACGUCUGUGACCUAUACCAUAGCUCACAGCAAUGCUGGAUCCUUAACCCACUAAGAACCAUGAGGUUGCGGGUUCGAUCCCUGGUCUCGCUCAGUGGGUUAAGGAUCCGGUAUUGCCGUGAGCUGUGGUGUUGAUCACAGAUGUGGCCUGGAUCCGGUGUUGCUGUGGCUGUCGCAUAGGCCGGUGGCUGCAACUCCAAUUGGACCCCGAACCUGGGAACCUCCAUAUGCCAUGGGUGCAGCCCUAGAAAAAAAGCCAAAAAAAAAAAA
rnacentral:lncRNA from 1 species